rnacentral:rRNA from 1 species
UACGUAGGGGGCGAGCGUUGUCCGGAUUUAUUGGGCGUAAAGCGCGCGUAGGCGGCGCGGUGUGUCGUGCGUGAAAUCUCCCGGCUUAACUGGGAGGGGCCGUGCGAAACUGCCGGGCUUGAGGUCGGAAGGGGAAAGUGGAAUUCCGGGUGUAGUGGUGGAAUACGUAGAUAUCCGGAGGAACACCAGCGGCGAAGGCGGCUUUCUGGUCCGAUACUGACGCUGAGGCGCGAAAGCGUGGGGAGCGAUC